rnacentral:sRNA from 1 species
UUGCAACGGAUAAUCCGUUGCUAAACCAAUUCCAGAAAAAAAAGAAAAAAAAACAUGGUUUGCAACGGAUUAGCCGUUGCAA